rnacentral:rRNA from 1 species
GAUCAUGGCUCAGGACGAACGCUGGCGGCGUGCUUAACACAUGCAAGUCGAACGGACGACGAGAGAGCUUGCUCUCUUGAAGUUAGUGGCGAACGGGUGAGUAACGCGUAAUCAACCUGCCCUUCAGAGGGGGAUAACAACGGGAAACCGUUGCUAAUACCGCGUACGAUUCAUAGACGGCAUCGUUUGUGAAUGAAAGGUGGCCUCUAUUUAUAAGCUAUCGCUGAAGGAGGGGAUUGCGU